GCCGGAAUGGCGGAAUUGGCAUACGCAGGAGACUUAAAAUCUCUCGUCAUAUUUGACUUGUGGGUUCGAAUCCCACUUCCGGCACCA
rnacentral:tRNA from 1 species